rnacentral:rRNA from 1 species
GACGAACGCUGGCGGCGUGCUUAACACAUACAAGUCGAACGGAAAGGCCCUGCUUUUGUGGGGUGCUCGAGUGGCGAACGGGUGAGUAACACGUGAGUAACCUGCCCUUGACUUUGGGAUAACUUCAGGAAACUGGGGCUAAUACCGGAUAGGAGCUCCUGCUGCAUGGUGGGGGUUGGAAAGUUUCGGCGGUUGGGGAUGGACUCGCGGCUUAUCAGCUUGUUGGUGGGGUAGUGGCUUACCAAGGCUUUGACGGGUAGCCGGCCUGAGAGGGUGACCGGCCACAUGGGGACUGAGAUACGGCCCAGACUCCUACGGGGGGCAGCAGUGGGGAAUAUUGCACAAUGGGCGGAAGCCUGAUGCAGCAACGCCGCGUGCGGGAUGACGGCCUUCGGGUUGUAAACCGCUUUCGCCUGUGACGAAGCGUGAGUGACGGUAAUGGGUAAAGAAGCACCGGCUAACUACGUG